UAUAAAAAUAAUAAAAAUAAAAAUAAAUAUAAAAACAAAAAAAAUGAUAAAAAAAAAAAAAAAUCGAAAUUAAAAUAUGAAUCAGCACAUUCAUCUAGUAAUAGUAGUGAAACAAAAAAGAAAAGAAAAGAAAAAAAAAAAUUAAAAAAAAAAAGAUAUUAUUUAAAUAGUGAUGACAAAGAUGAUAAAUUAUAUUUUAAAAAUGUCUCAGAUUCAAAAAAAAAACAUUCUUAUAAUACAGAAAAAUGUAGAAAAAUUCACAGAGGUGUUAAUAGUAGUAGUUAUAGUAACAGUAGCUAUAGUAAAAGUAGUAAUAGUAGCAGCUAUAAUAGUUGUAGCAGUAACAGUGACCAUAUUAGUAGUAACAACAGUAGUAGCAGUAGUAGCAGUAGUAGUAGUAAUAGUAGUAGUAGUAGUAAUAGUAGUAGUAAUAGUAGUAGUAAUAGUAGUAGUAAUAGUAGUAGUGUUAAGUAUUAUAAAAAAAAAAAAAAAAAAAAAUCAAAAUCAAAAUAUAUUAUAUAUGACUCUAACAGAACAGUAAACGAAAUUAAUACAUCACUGUUAGAUAAUAAUCAUGAAAUAGAUAUAUAUUCAUCCGAUGAACGUAAUUCUAUGCAUAAAAAAAAAUUACUUUAUUAACAAAUCAUGCUGCUCUAGAUAUAAAAGAUAACUUUUCUGACUACAGCUACUCAUCAAUAUCAACCGAACACACAUCUUCCAGUUACGAAAAUCAAUUUUUUGAUCAUUAUUAUAAUGUUGUAGAUAAUAAGAAUGUUGACUUAUGUGAUAAUAUUUAUGUUUUUGAAAAAAAAAAAAAAGAAAUUACGUAAUUAUAUUGAACAAAUAGAAGACCCUUUAUGGGUACCCCAAGGAAGUUGUAAAAGGUAGCAAAUCUGUGUA
rnacentral:lncRNA from 1 species